rnacentral:rRNA from 1 species
AUAUCAGUCAUGCAUAGCAUAUCAAUAAGCGGAGGAAAAGAAACUAACAAGGAUUCCCCUAGUAACUGCGAGUGAAGCGGGAAGAGCUCAAAUUUGAAAUCUUAAAAGGUUUUCCUUCUACGAAUUGUAGUUUAAAGAAGUGUUUUCUGUUGAAAUUUUAGUAAAAGUUCUUUGGAAUAGGACAUCAUAGAGGGUGAGAAUCCCGUAUUUGACUAGAAUUUUUCAACUUUGUGAUACACUUUCAAAGAGUCGGAUUGUUUGGGAAUGCAGUCCAAAAUGGGUGGUAAAUUUCAUCUAAAGCUAAAUAUUGGCGAGAGACCGAUAGCGAACAAGUACCGUGAGGGAAAGGAUGAAAAGAACUUUGAAAAGAGAGUUAAAUAGUACGUGAAAUUGUCAAAAGGGAAGCGUUUGGCACCAGUGUUGUUUUUCUAAAAAUCAAUUUAAAAUUUGCUUAUGCUAAGUUUUUUAGACUUAAUCGGCUAAUAAUUUAGUUUUUUGUAAUUUUUGAAUGCACUUUUUAGUUAACAAGUCAACAUCAAUUUCUUUUGUUGUAAAAGAAUAAGAGGAAGGUGGCUUGGAAUUCGUUUCAAGUGUUUAUAGCCUUUUAUUUCUGCAAUAGGAGGGAUUGAGGUCUACAGCAUAGAUCCUUCGGGGCUAGAUGCAUUUUCGCUAAGAGUCAGUAUUAUAUAAACAACUUGUUGAUUAUGUAGUAUGUUGAUUUUUACUCGGGAGUGUUAUUUUACCUACGCUUAGGAUGUUGAUCUACAGAGCGAGAGU